rnacentral:tRNA from 1 species
GCCUGGGUGGCUCAGUCGGUUGAGCGUCUGACUUCAGCUCAGGUCAUGAUCUCACAGCUCGUGAGUUCGAGCCCCACAUCGGGCU